CAUGUACUCCCUCCGUUCGGAAUUACUUGUCAUAAAAAUGGAUGUAUUUACAACUAAAAUACAUCUAGAUACAUUCAUUUCUUGGACGAGUAAUUCCGAACGGAGGGAGUAGGUG
rnacentral:pre_miRNA from 1 species